GAUGAACGCUGGCGGCGUGCCUAAUACAUGCAAGUCGAGCGAACAGAUGAGGAGCUUGCUCCUCUGACGUUAGCGGCGGACGGGUGAGUAACACGUGGAUAACCUACCUAUAAGACUGGGAUAACUUCGGGAAACCGGAGCUAAUACCGGAUAAUAUAUUGAACCGCAUGGUUCAAUAGUGAAAGACGGUUUUGCUGUCACUUAUAGAUGGAUCCGCGCCGCAUUAGCUAGUUGGUAAGGUAACGGCUUACCAAGGCAACGAUGCGUAGCCGACCUGAGAGGGUGAUCGGCCACAGUGGAACUGAGACACGGUCCAGACUCCUACGGGAGGCAGCAGUAGGGAAUCUUCCGCAAUGGGCGAAAGCCUGACGGAGCAACGCCGCGUGAGUGAUGAAGGUCUUCGGAUCGUAAAACUCUGUUAUUAGGGAAGAACAAAUGUGUAAGUAACUAUGCACGUCUUGACGGUACCUAAUCAGAAAGCCACGGCUAACUACGUG
rnacentral:rRNA from 1 species